UGGGGAAUAUUGCACAAUGGGCGAAAGCCUGAUGCAGCAACGCCGCGUGAGUGAUGAAGGCCUUCGGGUUGUAAAGCUCUGUCUUUUGGGACGAUAAUGACGGUACCAAAGGAGGAAGCCACGGCUAACUACGUGCCAGCAGCCGCGGUAAUACGUAGGUGGCAAGCGUUGUCCGGAUUUACGGGCGUAAAGGAUGCGUAGGCGGAUUUUUAAGUGAGAUGUGAAAACCCUAAGCUUAACUUGGGGACUGCAUUUCAUACUGGAAAUCUAGAGUGCGGGAGAGGAGAAUGGAAUUCCUAGUGUAGCGGUGAAAUGCGUAGAGAUUAGGAAGAACACCAGUGGCGAAGGCGAUUCUCUGGACCGUAACUGACGCUGAGGCAUGAAAGCGUGGGUAGCAAACAGGAUUAGAUACCCUGGUAGUCCACGCCGUAAACGAUGAGUACUAGGUGUAGGAGGUAUCGA
rnacentral:rRNA from 1 species